UACAGAGGGGGCAAGCGUUGUUCGGAAUUACUGGGCGUAAAGGGCGCGUAGGCGGCCUUCUAAGUCAGACGUGAAAUCCCUCGGCUCAACCGGGGAACUGCGUCCGAUACUGGCGGGCUUGAAUUCGGGAGAGGGAUGUGGAAUUCCAGGUGUAGCGGUGAAAUGCGUAGAUAUCUGGAGGAACACCGGUGGCGAAGGCGGCAUCCUGGACCGACAUUGACGCUGAGGCGCGAAAGCCAGGGGAGCAAACGGG
rnacentral:rRNA from 1 species